UACAGAGGGGGCAAGCGUUGUUCGGAAUUACUGGGCGUAAAGGGCGCGUAGGCGGCCACCGCAAGUCGACUGUGAAAUCUCCGGGCUUAACUCGGAAACUGCCGUUGAUACUAUCUGUCUUGAAUAUCGUGGAGGUUAGCGGAAUAUGUCAUGUAGCGGUGAAAUGCUUAGAUAUGACAUAGAACACCGAUUGCGAAGGCAGCUCACUACACGAAUAUUGACUCUGAGGCACGAAAGCGUGGGGAUCAAACAGG
rnacentral:rRNA from 1 species